ACCUACGGGGGGCAGCAGUGAGGAAUAUUGGUCAAUGGGAGAGAUCCUGAACCAGCCAAGCCGCGUGAGGGAAGACGGCCCUAUGGGUUGUAAACCUCUUUUGUCGGAGAACAAAACCCGGGACGUGUCCCGGACUGCGUGUAUCCGAAGAAAAAGCAUCGGCUAACUCCGUGCCAGCAGCCGCGGUAAUACGGAGGAUGCGAGCGUUAUCCGGAUUUAUUGGGUUUAAAGGGUGCGUAGGUGGUUAAUUAAGUCAGCGGUGAAGGUUUGUGGCUCAACAAUAAAAUUGCCGUUGAAAGUGGUUG
rnacentral:rRNA from 1 species